UACGUAGGAUCCAAGCGUUGUCCGGAUUUACUGGGUGUAAAGGGUGCGCAGGCGGACUUGUUAGUCAGAGGUGAAAUCUCACUGCUCAACAGUGAAACUGCCUUUGAUACUGCAGGUCUUGAAUCCAGAAGAGAGUUGUGGAAUUCCGAGUGUAGCGGUGAAAUGUGUAGAUAUUCGGAAGAACACCAGCGGCGAAGGCAGCAACUUGGUCUGGUAUUGACGCUCAGGCACGAAAGCAUGGGGAUCAAACAGG
rnacentral:rRNA from 1 species